UACAGAGGGUGCGAGCGUUGUCCGGAAUCACUGGGCGUAAAGGGCGCGUAGGUGGCGACCCAAGUCGAUGGUGAAAGCUCGCCGCUCAACGGCGAGUCGGCCACCGAUACUGGGUUGCUCGAGCACUGUAGAGGCUCAUGGAAUUCCGGGUGUAGCGGUGGAGUGCGUAGAGAUCCGGAAGAACACCGGUGGCGAAGGCGGUGAGCUGGGCAGUUGCUGACACUGAGGCGCGACAGCGUGGGGAGCAAACAGG
rnacentral:rRNA from 1 species